GGGCCAUGUGAUGAGAAACCUUAUGCAACUCACGACGGUCGUCUGAGACACUUUGUGUGUAAUGUUGCAGCCAUUUAUUCUCUGAUGCCC